GUCUUUUUGAAUAAAGUGGCAGUUGACUCUCAGACUGUGUUUCGUCUGGUUCUUGGGAGGAUUUGGGAAUAUUGCCUGGUUCCAGCUUUGUACUUGGUUAUUGCAUUCUACCAGCAGAGAUCCUGGGAUUAUAAAAUUGCAGCUCCGCAACAAUUAUGUCUCCUGUCACAGUACGCAUUGGGUAUACAUUAUCUCUCCUGUCACAGUACGCAUUGGGUAUACAUAAUCUCUCUUGUCACAGUACACAUUGGAUAUACAUUAUUUCUCCUGUCACUGUGCGCAUUUGGUAUACAUUCUCUCCUGUCACAGUGCGUAUUGCAUAUACAUUAUGUCUCCU